ACGCAAUCCAUUGUAUUGCAACAUAUCCUUCGUGAAAUCAAGACAAGCCUACCCCCUCCCCCUUUUUUUUGUUUGGACCAGAAUACCACGGAGUAACAACGCGUCACAUUUCCAUAAUGAUUAUUGAAUAGCUUUGGUAAUGACUGUAAGUUGACAUCGACUCUGGAAGAUAAUUCACUGAGCAAUUCGAAUCUUGGAAACGCCGCUGUGUAUCGUUUUGUGUGUAAUAAUACUGCCAGAUACAUGAAAUGGGAUCAGGAUGUGUUGUGUGUGCCAUUGUUGUUGUAUCAAUUCUAAUCGUUUACUCGGCUGUGAUCUCGUAUGUCUACUUCAGGACUAGCAAUCCAAUUUCGGAAUUCUUGUCAAGUGAGUGUGAGAAAACUCCCUAUUCUUCACAAGCAAGGGUACCAAUACAGUAAGAAAGAUGACUAUCUCCAGGAAUAUACCAGCCACUAACCACCACGUGACGUCAUAGGAGGAUGAUAUAUGAGUUUGUCAUAACAGAUGGCACACAGAAGCAAUAUUAGAAGGUAAAGCGAAGAUCGAUGCCUAUCAUUUUGGUUGGGAACUCCUCCGUAUCAAUGGUAUCACCCUCCGCGCACCCUUCGUUUACAAAAUCACCUACUCCUCCGGAUCCCAUUAGCAUGCAAGGACAUUUACCUUCACUGCACCUACACUUUGGAACGCUUUACAACUGCACAUCAGAACCAAGACAACAGUUGAAACAUUCAAGAAAGCACUUAAAUGCCACUUCUUCACCACGAAAUAAACUUUUAUUGAACAUUUAUAAUUUGUAGUUUACCUCUCAUUAUGUUAUUGUUAUGCAGGGACCUAUCCACGGAGGAUUGGUCUAUUGUUACUGGGGGUGCUGAGCUUUGUCACAGCACCCCCAGUAACAAUAGAUAAUCCUCUGUGGCCAGGUCCAUGUUGUUAUGUUAUUAUAAUUAUCAUACUUGCCUGAUAUAUGUAAAGCGCUUUGAGAUGUUUUUUUGAUAUAUUAAGCGUUGUAUUAAGCUUCACGUAUCAUUAUUAUUAUUGUCAUUAUUAUUAAUUAAAGACCCUGCAGAGAUUCGUGUGGUACUGAGUAUUAUACGACCUCACGCGAAUAAAGAUGUCACGUUUGGAAACAAUUAUUACCGCGGAAGAAGAUAAAAUUAACUUUUUUAAACAUUUAUAUUGUGUAGUUUACCUUUUAUUAUGUUUGUUAUGUUAUUAUAAUUAUUAUACUUUCCAGAUCCUUACAAUAGUUAAUAAUAAUAAUCUUGUGCGUCCUUCCGUUUGUUUGACGGCGCUUUUCUCCGUGGUUUUCCACUCAAUCGAGCUGGAUUUUUUUUUUCUAAACAUGGUUAAAUUGCUCACAGAUUGUCAUGAGGGGGUUAUUUGUGGUAUUUUGGUCGCAUUAUUAUUAUUAUUUUUUUUAAUUCGUGACUUUUUUGCAUUCCUUUUCGCAGCCCUGAGCACAGAAUCCAAGUUCCCAGUCCCUUUUACCUCUCUCGACCGGGUCAGCGAAAUACUAUGCAUGCAUGCCACCAUGCUAACCGUCGACCGGGUUACCAGUGCUUCCACUUUUCAAAACGGAACUUCCUGGAAUUUACUCUGAAAGUUCCUGGAAUUUUCCGAGUGUUCUCGAUCCAGUAUUCCAGUAGUUAUAAUUCACUUCUAAUUUUUAUUUAUACACACACAAUAAAAUAUAGGACCCAGUGCCAUAAUUGGGCCAACAAUUUUGAGGGCCAGGGGCGAUCCAUGAAAUGGGCAAAAAUCUGUAUUGUAAAUUGUAAUAUCCUAAAGAUUUUUCCAGAUUUUAACAUUUGGUACAGAUCCAUUUAAGCAAAUGACGAUAUAACUGUCGAAAAAAAUCCGCUUGAGUGAGCACCACUUACUUUUGAAAAGGUAGUGAAAAAUGAUUUGUGAAGAACUUUGAUAUAGUUAUGCGAAUAAAAGUAGACCUUAAUCAUUAAUCAUGAAGAAAACGUGGUAUUUAGCUGGUAAAAUUGACUUGAAGAUAUCUUUUACCUUUUUUUAACUUCUUUCCUUGCCAAAAACACUUCGAAGAGUGCAUUGCGCCCCACCCUUCUCCCCCACACACCGAGGCCAUCGUGACGAUAUUUGCUUUACACUGAGCUGUGAUUUACAUGAAAUGGCUUAGGCUUGACUUUCAUUUUGUUAAUCAUUGUCAAGCUUGGGAAAAGUGUGGAAAAACAAGUAUUAAAUGAAAUGUAAACCCACUUUAAAUGAUAAAAACUUAGUUUUAAAAAAUGCUGGAGAUGUCUGAUAGAAUUUUUGGUUCAGAUUCAGUUAUGUCCUCAGAUCCAGCUGGCACAAAAAAGGGUAAAUGUUGUUUUUACUAAGUGUUGAAAUUUCUAUUUGGUUGGCAAUUUUUUUACAAAAUGCUUGAAUGUAUCCGUUUUAUUUCAAUUGACUAAAAAUGCAAGGGAAAUGAAUGAGAAAGGGUUCGCAGGGUAAGUUUGAUUUCGCCCUUUCCCCUUGACACAGUGUGAAAACAAGCAUUUCUGCGCAAACAGAUUUCUGCGAGCUUUACAAAAAUGGGCAGUGCUCACUCAAGUGUAACAUUCUAUCAAAACUGUUACUUUCAUUGGAUAAAUGAGACCCAAACCCAAGAAUAUUUGUGAACAAAAAUACCCACUUGUUGUAUCUUUUUUAUUCCCAGGGCUUUUUCAAAGUGUAUUUUUUUUUAUCCGCACUGUAUAUUUCAUAUAGAUAGUUUUAUGUCAAAGCAGAUAUGAACAUACUGAGUAAAAAUGGUCAAUCAUUCAGUCCUUAACUUUGACAUAACAUGCCAUCUCAUACACAGCAAAAACUGCGGUGUUAACAGGUGUACAUAGAGGACCACACCAGUUAUUUUACACCGGUGUUAAAUUGACAGUGUUAGUUUAGCACAUAUAGGUGUUAUUGCAACACCUUUGGUUGCUACAUGUACACUCUUUGGUGUUAUAUUCAAUCUCUAGGGUGUAAUUUUAACACCAGAGGGUGUGGUCCUCUAUUAACAUCCACUGGUGUCAGUUUUAACACCACAGUUUUUACAGUGUAUAUUCUGAUCCUAUUUGUACCAGUAUUUUGCCUUCGUUUGACAUGUUUAUAUUUUGUUUGACAUGUAUUUUACAAAACUGUGUUGGACAUAUAUACAUGUUUAUUAAAAAUGUAGAUAUGAAUGUAACAGAGUAAAAAUAGUUUAUCGCUUCAAGGGCCAACAUCGUGUAGCUAGACAUGCAAGGACCUUUUUUAUGCAUUAUAACAUGCCAUCUCAAAUAUUAUAAUCUUUUCAUCUGUAUACUAUCGUAGCAUAUACCUUGCCUUUAAUGAACAUGAUUAUAUUUCACACAUUGUGUUUUACAUUUCUAUUAAUAAAGACAUAACCUCACA